rnacentral:rRNA from 1 species
UACGUAGGGUGCAAGCGUUAAUCGGAAUUACUGGGCGUAAAGCGUGCGCAGGCGGCUUUGCAAGACAGAUGUGAAAUCCCCGGGCUCAACCUGGGAACUGCAUUUGUGACUGCAAGGCUGGAGUACGGUAGAGGGGGAUGGAAUUCCGCGUGUAGCAGUGAAAUGCGUAGAUAUGCGGAGGAACACCGAUGGCGAAGGCAAUCCCCUGGACCUGUACUGACGCUCAUGCACGAAAGCGUGGGGAGCAAACGAGG